rnacentral:rRNA from 1 species
CAUGUCUAAAUAUAAGCAAUCUAUACUGUGAAACUGCGAAGGGCUCAUUAAAUCAGUUAUCGUUUAUUUGAUAGUACCUUACUACUUGGAUAACCGUGGUAAUUCUAGAGCUAAUACAUGCUAAAAACCCCGACUUCGGAAGGGGUGUAUUUAUUAAAUAAAAAACCAAUGCCCUUCGGGGCUCCUUGGUGAAUCAUGAUAACUUAACGAAUCGCAAGGCCUUGCGCCGGCAAUGGUUCAUUCAAAUUUCUGCCCUAUCAACUUUCGAUUGUAGGAUAGUGGCCUACAAUGGUUUCAACGGGUAACGGGGAAUUAGGGUUCUAUUCCGGAGAGGGAGCCUGAGAAACGGCUACCACAUCCAAGGAAGGCAGCAGGCGCGCAAAUUACCCAAUCCCGAUACGGGGAGGUAGUGACAAUAAAUACUGAUACAGGGCUCUUUUGGGUCUUGUAAUUGGAAUGAGUACAAUUUAAAUACCUUAAUGAGGAACAAUUGGAGGGCAAGUCUGGUGCCAGCAGCCGCGGUAAUUCCAGCUCCAAUAGCGUAUAUAAAAGUUGUUGCAGUUAAAAAGCUCGUAGUUGAACCUUGGGCCUGGCUGGCCGGUCUGCCUCACCGCAUGUACUGGUUCGGCCGGGUCUUUCCUCCUGGGGAUCCGCAUGCCCUUCACUGGGUGUGUUGGGGAACCAGGACUUUUACUUUGAAAAAAUUAGAGUGUUCAAAGCAGGCCUUUGCUCGAAUACAUUAGCAUGGAAUAAUAGAAUAGGACGUGCGGUCCUAUUUUGUUGGUUUCUAGGACCGCCGUAAUGAUUAAUAGGGAUAGUCGGGCGCAUCAGUAUUCAGUUGUCAGAGGUGAAAUUCUUGGAUUUACUGAAGACUAACUACUGCGAGAGCAUGUGCCAAGGAUGUUCUCAUUAAUCAGUGAACGAAAGUUAGGAGAUCGAAGACGAUCAGAUACCGUCGUAGUCUUAACCGUAAACUAUGCCGACUAGGGAUCGGGCGAUGUUAUUCUUGUGACUCGCUCGGCACUUACGAGAAAUCAAAGUCUUGGGUUUGGGGGGGAAAUAUGGUCGCAGGCUGAAACUUAAAGAAUUGACGGA